ACAUAAAUAUUUUCAUCUUGGAAAUAGUGACAUAAGGAUUUUUUUCAUCUUGGCACCUGUCUCCAUCAUUUGUGUGGAUUCUAUAGACUCAUGAAUUUGGAUGGCAGUUUUCUCAUCUGGAUGUCGCCUACCCUGCUGUGGUCGGUGACUGUGACAAAGGGCGAGAUUCCCAACAUGCAUCACAAAACAUCUGAAGACCACUGUGGGGUAGAGAAGCCAACCCAGAGAGCCGCCACGGUGCCCCUUAAGGAACUCUGAUGAAUCAAAAGACUGAGAGCUAUUCGGAAAGGUAAAUUGUGUCUCUUGACCCUUCUAAACUGGAUGAAGAAAAACCAGUGCAGCAUGUCCAGGUAUAAACUAAGCAAGAGAUGAAGUUUUAAAAACAAAACAAAACAGGACUGCACUGCACUGAGGAGUCAGCGUGGAGGGCAGACAAGUCAUGAAGCAAAACAAACAAAUGAACAAACAACAACUAGAGAGCUGUUGGGUAUUACUACGGCUAUCUUCUGUAUGUGUAGACUCAUGAUUACAUGGAUAUAAAAAAAUAUUAGAAAAACUAACCCAGGUGCAUCAAGAUCUUCAUUAGAAGUACAUAAGCACCAGAAAUAACAACAACAAUAACAACAAAAACAGAACAGAAAAUGACCCGUGUUUUUGCAAGUUUUUAUGAAGGUGUCUUGUAAUGUGUCCCACCGGUUCUUCCCUGGAGUUUGCCUGGUAAGAUCAGCAAAUAGAAUAAGCCAGGAUGCUUUUAGCCAACUUGCAAAAUUACAAAACCCUACCUUUCAUUAGUUAAUUGCUUUAUCACAAUAAAAAAUAUUACGUAUUUCUUUUUUUGCAUUUUCUAUUUGUUUCUCAGAACAACUUUGUUUGGUAGACAUCUUUUAUAGAUGAAGAAAUAAAGGCUGUGAAGGGAUUAUGUCAUAAAUAUAUGUCAUACAGUUAAUAAACAACCAAAUAGAGAUUUGAUUGAAUCCUUAAUCUAUGACUCUCUCAUAACACCAUGCUUUUAUUUUAUUUUAUUUUAUUUUAUUUUUUCUUUUCUUUUCUUUAUUUUAUUUUGUUUUAUUUUGUUGGUGACACUUUAGAGAUGAUCUGUGCUUUCUUGGUUUGGUGACUGCAACUCCCUCAGUCUUGAUCAAUUCAUGUUGAAAAUUCUGUCCCAGCCUCGCGGCUGAUUUUCCUUCCUCGAGUGUCUCUACUGAAGUCAGUUCUGAUGCCGGUACCUCUCGAAUUCUAACACCACUAUUCCGCCAUCACUUUUAUCAGCUCCAGAUCUAUAACCUUCCUCCUGUAGUCGCGUUUGCUGUCUCCGAGCGAAGUGUUAGCGGUGUGGUUUAUGUCUCACUCAUUCUUGCAACCCACUUCUCUCUCGUACCGCCACACUAUAUUUUGCUUGGACAUUUUUUUCAUGUUCUGAACUACAUUUUACUUUCUUGAUUGUUACUUUUUCCUCAUCUAGUCCAUCUCUGAAGGAAUAUUUGAAAGCUUCCUUUUCCUGUUCCCCCUCAACUGUAAAACAUAUAGACUACGUACACGGUACCUUGU